GCCAUGUCAGAUUAGUGAUUCAUAAAGAUCAUACAGUGGUUCUCAAAGUGCAGUUCCUGGACCAGCAGCAGCAGCAUCGCCUGGGAACUUGUUUGAUUAGGUCAAAACUAUGGGACCAGCCUGUGGAAAGGUGGAAAGAAAGCAAGAAGAAUGCAAACCAUUUUCUUUUCAAAGAAAGUGCCUGAAAUUGAAUGUAUCACUUCUGCAGACAUCCUGUUGGUUGGAACCUGGUCAUGUGGCUAUGUAGUCAUGUGGUUUACCUAGUAUUAGGAACCUUGGGAAAUGUAGUUUCUAACUGGGCAGGAUUGUGUCCAGCUAAAACUUGGGGUUCUAUAUUACAAGAAAGUCAAGGAAUGAAU